rnacentral:rRNA from 1 species
UACGGAGGGGGCUAGCGUUGUUCGGAAUUACUGGGCGUAAAGCGCGCGUAGGCGGACCUGCAAGUCGGGGGUGAAAGCCCGAGGCUCAACCUCGGAACUGCCUUCGAUACUGCGGGUCUCGAGUCCGGGAGAGGUGAGUGGAAUUCCAGGUGUAGCGGUGAAAUGCGUAGAUAUCUGGAGGAACACCGGUGGCGAAGGCGGCAUCCUGGGCCAAUAUUGACGCUGAGGAGCGAAAGCCAGGGGAGCAAACGGG